UGUUUUUAGGUUUGUAUGAGCAUGUUGGAUCCUUGCUUGCGCAUCGACAAUUUCUCAUGCAUUCCAUUUCAGUUGUUGCAUCAAGUUUUACUUGGUCGUUGUGUGUUUCCUGUGCUAAAUACCUAACAUGAAGGCAUUCCAUUUGAUGUGAAUACUAUAUCCACCUUUUGAUGCCCCCAAGUUGAGUGCGUUUUGUUGGUGGACCUCAAAUCAUGCAUUUUGGUUCACAUCCUUUGCCUGCUUGUUCAUGCUUUGGUUGUUGACCCAUGAUGCUGUGUUUGAUUUCUUGGAUAUUGAAAAUUGUGAGGGAAUGGGUCUUUGGCCUUUAAUAACCCCAAAUUAUGCGUUCGACGCUAUAAGCGAACGACUGUCGUGUCUGUGUUGGACGAGUCCUUUGGACUUGGCUCAUACGGCACCCAUGUCGGUGAGGAA
rnacentral:misc_RNA from 1 species